rnacentral:ncRNA from 1 species
CAGAGAUAAAAACACGUCCCGGUUGGUAGUCCGGGAGUGCCUUUUUCGGGGAAAAGGCACAAGUAACCUGCCUCCUUUGGUUGUCCGUUCUCUG